AUACGUAGGGUGCAAGCGUUAAUCGGAAUUACUGGGCGUAAAGCGUGCGCAGGCGGUUUUGUAAGACAGUGGUGAAAUCCCCGGGCUCAACCUGGGAACUGCCAUUGUGACUGCAAGGCUGGAGUGCGGCAGAGGGGGAUGGAAUUCCGCGUGUAGCAGUGAAAUGCGUAGAUAUGCGGAGGAACACCGAUGGCGAAGGCAAUCCCCUGGGCCUGCACUGACGCUCAUGUACGAAAGCGUGGGGAGCAAACAGGAUUAGAUACCCUGGUAGUCCACGCCCUAAACGAUGUCAACUGGUUGUUGGGGAUUUAUUUUCUCAGUAACGAAGCUAACGCGUGAAGUUGACCGCCUGGGGAGUACGGCCGCAAGGUUAAAACUCAAAUGAAUUGACGGGG
rnacentral:rRNA from 1 species